rfam:Bombyx mori DNA, contig: Bm_scaf106_contig36742, strain: p50T/Dazao, build 2, whole genome shotgun sequence.
UUAACUCAAAUUUGUAUGGAGUUGGAACGUUUGCCUAAGUUUGCCGCUGUUCCAAUUGCAUACAAAUUUGAGUUA